rnacentral:rRNA from 1 species
AUGAUUAAGCAGGUCCACAGGGAGAGCGGGAGAGGGCGCUGCCAAUUUGUUGGCGGAGCUUUUCGGCGCAGUCAACUCGCCCAUGCGUUGGCAGCUAGCCAAUUUGUUUUGUAUGGCUGCUAUUGGUUGCAAUCCAAAUGCACCCUAAAACACCUAUGGGAUCGGGAUAAUCGACAUAAUUGCGCAAUUCAAUAUUUCUGGGUGUAUCUACCACGUAGGUUGUCGAAACUGCUUGCACUGGCUCGCUUCAGUUCGUAUCAUGAUCUUCCGUCAGAAGCAAACGUUAAAGUAGUGGAUCGGUGUCUCAUGACCUAUGGUGUGACUCGGUUCAGUUAA